AUUAUAUUCAUCUGUUGGUGGGCAUCUAGGCUAGUUCCAUUUCCUUGCUGUUGUGAAUAGAGCAGCAAUGAAUAUGGCUACACUAGGAUUUCUGUAGUAGGAUAUGGA
rnacentral:miRNA from 1 species